GAUGAACGCUGGCGGCGUGCCUAAUACAUGCAAGUCGAGCGAACGGACGAGAAGCUUGCUUCUCUGAUGUUAGCGGCGGACGGGUGAGUAACACGUGGAUAACCUACCUAUAAGACUGGGAUAACUUCGGGAAACCGGAGCUAAUACCGGAUAAUAUUUUGAACCGCAUGGUUCAAAAGUGAAAGACGGUCUUGCUGUCACUUAUAGAUGGAUCCGCGCUGCAUUAGCUAGUUGGUAAGGUAACGGCUUACCAAGGCAACGAUGCAUAGCCGACCUGAGAGGGUGAUCGGCCACACUGGAACUGAGACACGGUCCAGACUCCUACGGGAGGCAGCAGUAGGGAAUCUUCCGCAAUGGGCGAAAGCCUGACGGAGCAACGCCGCGUGAGUGAUGAAGGUCUUCGGAUCGUAAAACUCUGUUAUUAGGGAAGAACAUAUGUGUAAGUAACUGUGCACAUCUUGACGGUACCUAAUCAGAAAGCCACGGCUAACUACGUGCCAGCAGCCGCGGUAAUACGUAGGUGGCAAGCGUUAUCCGGGAUUAUUGGGCGUAAAGCGCGCGUAGGCGGUUUUUUAAGUCUGAUGUGAAAGCCCACGGCUCAACCGUGGAGGGUCAUUGGAAACUGGAAAACUUGAGUGCAGAAGAGGAAAGUGGAAUUCCAUGUGUAGCGGUGAAAUGCGCAGAGAUAUGGAGGAACACCAGUGGCGAAGGCGACUUUCUGGUCUGUAACUGACGCUGAUGUGCGAAAGCGUGGGGAUCAAACAGGAUUAGAUACCCUGGUAGUCCACGCCGUAAACGAUGAGUGCUAAGUGUUAGGGGGUUUCCGCCCCUUAGUGCUGCAGCUAACGCAUUAAGCACUCCGCCUGGGGAGUACGACCGCAAGGUUGAAACUCAAAGGAAUUGACGGGGACCCGCACAAGCGGUGGAGCAUGUGGUUUAAUUCGAAGCAACGCGAAGAACCUUACCAAAUCUUGACAUCCUUUGACAACUCUAGAGAUAGAGCUUUCCCCUUCGGGGGACAAAGUGACAGGUGGUGUAUGGUUGUCGUCAGCUCGUGUCGUGAGAUGUUGGGUUAAGUCCCGCAACGAGCGCAACCCUUAAGCUUAGUUGCCAUCAUUAAGUUGGGCACUCUAAGUUGACUGCCGGUGACAAACCGGAGGAAGGUGGGGAUGACGUCAAAUCAUCAUGCCCCUUAUGAUUUGGGCUACACACGUGCUACAAUGGACAAUACAAAGGGCAGCGAAACCGUGAGGUCAAGCAAAUCCCAUAAAGUUGUUCUCAGUUCGGAUUGUAGUCUGCAACUCGACUACAUGAAGCUGGAAUCGCUAGUAAUCGUAGAUCAGCAUGCUACGGUGAAUACGUUCCCGGGUCU
rnacentral:rRNA from 1 species